UAAUGCAUGCCGCUUGUCCUCAGGUGCAGUAACUAUCUUAUUGGCAUUUGUUUGGUUUAUUGUCGUGAAGCGUUCUCCUUUCGAUGAUUCUCGUCUGAGCCACGAGUUGCUGAGUUCGUGUGAACAAGAAAAGACAGCUACUGAAAAAGAUGUACCAACGCCUUGGAGGAAGAUUCUGACGUCUUUACCGGUGUGGAGCGUUGUCAUUGGCUGGGGCACUAGCGGUUGGAUGUUGUUCACAUUCCUCACAGAAUUGCCCUCUUAUCUCAAGUUCGGUCUUGGAUAUGAUAUAAAACUGACCGGUGUUUUGUACGGAGUCUCGUUUUUGGCAGUGGCCAUAAUCCUACCCAUAAUGACAAGAUUAGCAGAUUUCAUGAAUACCAAGGAAGUCCUGUCAAUGACAAACAUCCGUAAACUAUUUACAUGUGGCGGUGAGUACCGUGAAUAUACAACUGUCCCAAAUAAGAAAAAUCCAUUUCUUCAGUGCAGCC